rnacentral:snoRNA from 1 species
GGAUCGAUGAUGAUUCCCAGUCAAUCAUUCCUUGGAAAAGCUGAACAAAAUGAGUGAAAACUCAGUACCACCGCUCUCAUCGAGACUGAGGUCC